rnacentral:lncRNA from 1 species
UCAAACUGAAACUAGUAAGCCCUCCAAAUCAAAAGCAAAAUGAAACAAGCUUAUUAAAAUAAUCCAUCCCUUAUAAUGCAUAUGAACUCAGGCCUGAAAGUGGAAUUACACAUUUUUUGUUGUUGUUCAGACCCAAACUGAAGAACUAAGAGCUGAACUUCAGUUGAUGGGAGGAGGCAUCUUGGAAUUCUGGUCUGCUUGUGGACCUUGGUUGGUUGACCAGUCUCCUCUCACUGCACCUACUUUCUUUAUUUGGUAGAUGGCC